AGCUGCCUACGGGGGGCAGCAGUGGGGAAUAUUGCACAAUGGGGGAAACCCUGAUGCAGCGACGCCGCGUGAAGGACGAAGUAUUUCGGUACGUAAACUUCUAUCAGCAGGGAAGAAAAUGACGGUACCUGACCAAGAAGCCCCGGCUAACUACGUGCCAGCAGCCGCGGUAAUACGUAGGGAGCAAGCGUUAUCCGGAUUUAUUGGGUGUAAAGGGUGCGUAGACGGGAAAUUAAGUUAGUUGUGAAAUCCCUCGGCUCAACUGAGGAACUGCAACUAAAACUGAUUUUCUUGAGUGCAGGAGA
rnacentral:rRNA from 1 species